ACUUAUGGCCAUACCACCCUGAACAUGCCUGAUCUUGUCUGAUCUCAGAAGCUAAGCAGGGUUGGGCCUGGUUAGUAUUUGGACAGGAAACUGCCCGGGAAUACCCAGUGCUGUAGGAU
rfam:Alligator mississippiensis ScZkoYb_308, whole genome shotgun sequence.